AGGACCUACGGGACGCAGCAGUGGGGAAUAUUGCACAAUGGGGGAAACCCUGAUGCAGCGACGCCGCGUGAGUGAAGAAGUAUUUCGGUAUGUAAAGCUCUAUCAGCAGGGAAGAAAAAAGACGGUACCUGACUAAGAAGCCCCGGCUAACUACGUGCCAGCAGCCGCGGUAAUACGUAGGGGGCAAGCGUUAUCCGGAUUUACUGGGUGUAAAGGGAGCGUAGACGGAGAAGCAAGUCUGAAGUGAAAGCCCGUGGCUUAACCACGGGACGGCUUUGGAAACUGUUUGACUAG
rnacentral:rRNA from 1 species